rnacentral:tRNA from 1 species
GCGGCAGUAGCUCAGCUGGAUAGAGCACAUGGCUACGGACCAUGGUGUCGGGGGUUCGAAUCCUCUCUGCCGCG